rnacentral:lncRNA from 1 species
AACAAAAUAACUCAUGUCAAAAUCCUUCACUUGGUUCCAGUUACAUUUUUCUUAAUACUCCCAUUCUCUUCAUUAAUCAGUUCUUUAUUCUGAAUUCCAGACAUUUAUGCAUUGAAUAAGUAGUCAUUUUGCGUUGUAUUUUAAUGCAAGUUUAUAUGAUUUACUUUAAGUAAUGUUUUGAAUUUAUUUUUUCAUUUUUGAACUUUUCAUUUUGAAAUGAAGACUUGGUAAACAGUUUCAAAAAUAGUACAAAUAAUUCCUGCAUAUCCUUCACCCAGUUCCCCCAAAUGUUUCAUCUCAAAAAACCACAGUAAAAUGAUCAGAAUCAGGAAGUUAGCACUAUACAAUAAUAUUAACUUAUUUAUGGUCUCUAUUUAAAUUAUACCAUGUAUCCCACUAAUAUCCUUUUUCUGGCCUAGAUUCCAAUCCAGGAUCCCACAUUGCAUUUAAUUGACAUAUCUUCUUGAUUUCCUUCCAUCUGUGAAAGUUCCUUAGCCUUUGUCUUUCAUGGUCUUGACACUUCUGAAGAGUGUUAAGAUUUAAUUCAGAUUAUGCCUUGUUGGCAAAAUUCCAUACACCUGAUGUAAUGCUGCUUCCACUGGGUGUGAGGAGGGCUCUUCUAUUGGAAAAUAAGCUUCAUCAGAAUUUAGGGGCUCACUAUCACCAGCAUUAUCAGAGUCUUCCCACAUGUACCCACUUUAACUUACAGGAUCCAACUUAUUUCCUGAUCGAUAUCCUCAUUUUAAUAGUAGAUACCUUGUAUUAUAGGAGAUAAGGGUCUCCUUCAUAGCAUACAUAGAUGUUUUGAGGUCAUUUAUGUGGCACUUGAGGUGGGAAUUUGAAUCCCAGAGCUCAUCCUUAUUUCAUCAUUUUGCCCAUUGACAUCAGGAACAACCAUCUAAUGUCAUUACAUUUAUUAGACUCCCCAAAAUGUUCAAAAGUAUUAUAUACAUAGUCACCCAGCUCCUUCCUUCUUGUACUUCCUUCAGAUCAAGCCAUACUUGAUCUGGCCAUAAAGGUACCCUAAAUAUCUCCACUUGAUAACCCUAACUAACAGUGCUCUUUUUACUACUGAAGAUAGAGUCAUUAGUGUCUUUAAAUCCAAUCAGAUUAGACUCUCAAUUCUAGAAGCCCCAGAACCAAUUACUCCUGAUAACAAAAUCAUCUAUGUUAACCAGGGUUCUCCAAAGAAACAGGGUGAUAUGGUUUGGCUCUGUGUCCCCACCCAAAUCUCACCUUGAAUUAUACUCCCAUAAUUCCCAUGUGUUGUGGGAGGGACCCAGUGGGAGAUAAUUUGAAGCAUGGGGCAAUUCCCCCAUACUGUUCUCAUGGUAGUGAAUAAGUCUUACGAGAUUGAUGGUUUUAUCAAGGAUUUUUGCUUUUGCAUCUUCCUCAUUUUCUCUUGCUGCCACCGUGUAAGAAGUGCCUUUCUCCUCCUAUCAUGAUUCUGAGGCCUCCCCAGUCAUGUGGAACUUGUAAGUCCGAUUAAACCUCUUUUUCUUCCCAGUCUUGGGUAUGUCUUUAUCAGCAACAUGAAAACAGACUAAUACAUAGGGCCAGUAGGAGAUAGAGAGAGAGAAUGUAUGUGUGUGUGAGAGAGAGACAGAGAGAGAGGGAUUGAGAGAGAUUUAUUAUAAGGAAUGGGCUGAUGUGAUUAUGGGGACUGAGAAGUCCCGGCAGAAGAGCUGAUGGUACAUACAUUCCAGUUUGAGUAGGAAGGCCUGAGAAGCAAGUGAGCUGAUAGUGUUGGUUCCAGUCUGACAGUGAAGGUCUGAGAACCAGGAAAGCCAAUGAUGUAAGAUUCAGUCUGAAUUUAGGCCCAAAAGCAGAAGACUUCUGUCACAGUUUGAAGACAGGAAGAGAGAAAACAUUCUUUCUCACUUAUAUUAGGUUGGUGCAAAAGUAUUUUGCCAUUACUUUUAAUGGCAAAAACCAUGAUUACUUUGCACCAACAGAAUACUUUUAGUCCAUUCAGGCCUCCAAAAAAUGGAAAGAGGCCCGCACACAUUGCAGAUGGAAAUCUGCUUUAUUCAGUUUACUAAUUCAAAUGUUAACCUCAUCAAGAAAUACCCACAUAGACAUUCCCAUAAGUAAUGUUUAGCUAAAUAUCUGGGCACUACAUGGCCCUGUUAAGUUGACACAUAAAAUGAACCAUCACACCUUCUAAACACAUCAAAUCAGGAGGCACAUAAUGACAUUUUGUCUAAUUACUAGUGAUGUUAACUUAGAUCACUUGGAUAAGGCAGUCUUUCAAAUUUUCUUCACUUAACAUUAUUUUCCUCUUUGUAUUUGGUAAAUUUCUCGUGGCAAGAUAAUUGAGACCAUGUAAAUAUCCUGUUUUUCAUCACACCCUUACCUAUUAAUGAUUCUUGAUUGAGGUAAUUAUUACUGUAAUGUUAUCAAAUGAUGAUUUUAUAUUUCUGUUAUUUCUUCUAUAUUUAUUAAUUUGAAUUCUCUUAUUUAUUUCUUGAAUGAUUGGUAUCAGUAUGGACUCAUCAAUAUAUAUUUUUUAUUUUGGGGGUUAUAGUCCAUUAUUCUCAUUAUUAAUUUUGUUACUCAACUUGUCAUAGAUUUGGGCAUUAGGGGAUCUUCUUUAAAUCAUAUUUAAACAGCUUUGCUGUAUGAAUCCUCAUGGUUAGGUAUGUAAGGUUUGUAUAAAUAAACAAAUUUUCUCUAUUAUUAUAGCAAUCCAGGUUUCUUCGCAUAGAAAUGCCUUAAAAAGUUUUUUUAUCUUAAAAAUGUUUAAUUAAAAGUACUACACUAGAUAAUGGAAACUUAGUAACCACCCCAGAUA